UCCUUCCUGUUAAAGCACCAGGCUAAAAUUGUAGAACUUGGUUAAUCUAGUCAUGCAAUAAUGCUAGCUCUGGUACACGCAGGAAGGAGAGUAAAAAAAUGCAUGGUCAUCAAAAUGAGACUAGGACGGACCUCUUUCUUAAUGUCCAUUGUCUUUUGUCUCGUGGUGUAGUGCAACAGUU